rnacentral:rRNA from 1 species
GACGAACGCUGGCGGCGUGCUUAACACAUGCAAGUCGAACGGAAAGGCCCUGCUCUUGUGGGGUGCUCGUGUGGCGCACGGGUGAGUAACACGUGAGUAACCUGCCCUUGUCUUUGGGAUAACUUCAGGAAACUGGGGCUCAUACCGGAUAGGAGCUCCUGCUGCACGGUGGGGGUUGGAAAGUUUCGGCGGUUGGGGAUGGACUCGCAGCUUAUCAGCUUGUUGGUGGGGUAGUGGCUUACCAAGGCUUUGACGGGUAGCCGGCCUGAGAGGGUGACCGGCCACAUGGGGACUGAGGUAGGGACCAGACGGCUACGGGAGGCAGCAGUGGGGAAUAUUGCGCAAUGGGCGGAAGCCUGAUGCAGCAACGCCGCGUGCGGGAUGACGGCCUACGGGGUGUAAACCGCUUUCGCCGGUGACGAAGCGUGAGUGACGGUAAUGGGUAAGGAAGCACCGGCUAACUACGUG